UCUGGUGUCUCUUGCCGCGAGGAUACACCUCUUCCCAUUUCGAACAGAGCCGUUAAGCUCGCGCACGCCGAUGGUACCCCGCUUUGCGGGGGAGAGUAGGUCGAUGCCAGGU
rnacentral:rRNA from 1 species